rnacentral:rRNA from 1 species
UACGGAAGGCAGCAGUGGGGAAUAUUGCACAAUGGGCGCAAGCCUGAUGCAGCCAUGCCGCGUGUAUGAAAAAGGCCUUCGGGUUGUAAAGUACUUUCAGUCGUGAGGAAGGUGUUAAGGUUAAUAACCUUAGCAAUUGACGUUAGCGACAGAAGAAGCACCGGCUAACUCCGUGCCAGCAGCCGCGGUAAUACGGAGGGUGCGAGCGUUAAUCGGAAUUACUGGGCGUAAAGGGCACGCAGGCGGUUAAUUAAGUUGGAUGUGAAAUCCCCCGGGCUUAAACCUGGGAAUGGCAUUCAAGACUGGUUAGCUAGAGUCUUGUAGAGGGGGUAGAAUUCCAUGUGUAGCGGUGAAAUGCGUAGAGAUGUGGAGGAAUACCGGUGGCGAAGGCGGCCCCUGGACAAAGACUGACGCUCAUGUGCGAAAGCGUGGGGAGCAAAACAGGGAUUAGAUACC